CCUACGGGAGGCUGCAGUGGGGAAUAUUGGACAAUGGGGGCAACCCUGAUCCAGCCAUGCCGCGUGUGUGAAGAAGGCCCUCGGGUUGUAAAGCACUUUCAGUGAGGAAGAACGCCUGGUGGUUAAUACCCAUCAGGAAAGACAUCACUCACAGAAGAAGCACCGGCUAACUCCGUGCCAGCAGCCGCGGUAAUACGGAGGGUGCGAGCGUUAAUCGGAAUUACUGGGCGUAAAGCGCGCGUAGGUGGCUUGAUAAGCCGGUUGUGAAAGCCCCGGGCUCAACCUGGGAACGGCAUCCGGAACUGUCAAGCUAGAGUGCAGGAGAGGAAGGUAGAAUUCCCGGUGUAGCGGUGAAAUGCGUAGAGAUCGGGAGGAAUACCAGUGGCGAAGGCGGCCUUCUGGACUGACACUGACACUGAGGUGCGAAAGCGUGGGUAGCAAACAGGAUUUAGAUACCCGUGUAGUC
rnacentral:rRNA from 1 species